GACGGACGCUGGCGGCGUGCUUAACACAUGCCACUCGAACGGAAAGGCCCCAGCUUGCUGGGGUACUCGAGUGGCGAACGGGUGAGUAACACGUGGGUGAUCUGCCCUGCACUCUGGGAUAAGCCUGGGAAACUGGGUCUAAUACCGGAUAGGACCGUGCUUUAGUGUGUGCGGUGGAAAGUUUUUCGGUGCAGGAUGAGCCCGCGGCCUAUCAGCUUGUUGGUGGGGUAAUGGCCUACCAAGGCGGCGACGGGUAGCCGGCCUGAGAGGGUGUACGGCCACAUUGGGACUGAGACACGGCCCAGACUCCUACGGGAGGCAGCAGUGGGGAAUAUUGCACAAUGGGCGCAAGCCUGAUGCAGCGACGCCGCGUGGGGGAUGACGGCCUUCGGGUUGUAAACCCCUUUCGGCAGGGACGAAGCUUUUGUGACGGUACCUGCAGAAGAAGCACCGGCUAACUACGUG
rnacentral:rRNA from 1 species